rnacentral:rRNA from 1 species
AGUGAACGCUGGCGGUAGGCCUAACACAUGCAAGUCGAGCGGCAGCACAGUAAGAGCUUGCUCUUACGGGUGGCGAGUGGCGGACGGGUGAGGAAUACAUCGGAAUCUACUUUUUCGUGGGGGAUAACGUAGGGAAACUUACGCUAAUACCGCAUACGACCUACGGGUGAAAGCAGGGGAUCUUCGGACCUUGCGCGAUUGAAUGAGCCGAUGUCGGAUUAGCUAGUUGGCGGGGUAAAGGCCCACCAAGGCGACGAUCCGUAGCUGGUCUGAGAGGAUGAUCAGCCACACUGGAACUGAGACACGGUCCAGACUCCUACGGGAGGCAGCAGUGGGGAAUAUUGGACAAUGGGCGCAAGCCUGAUCCAGUCAUACCGCGUGGGUGAAGAAGGCCUUCGGGUUGUAAAGCCCUUUUGUUGGGAAAGAAAAGCAGCAGGUUAAUACCCCGCUGUUCUGACGGUACCCAAAGAAUAAGCACCGGCUAACUUCGUG